CACGUAGUUAGCCGGUGCUUAUUCUUCAGGUACCGUCAUUAGAAGCAGAUAUUAGCCACUCCCGUUUCUUCCCUGACAAAAGAGCUUUACAACCCGAAGGCCUUCUUCACUCACGCGGCAUUGCUGGAUCAGGCUUGCGCCCAUUGUCCAAAAUUCCCCACUGCUGCCUCCCGUAGGAGUCUGGACCGUGUCUCAGUUCCAGUGUGGCUGGUCGUCCUCUCAGACCAGCUACUGAUCGUCGCCUUGGUGAGCCUUUACCUCACCAACUAGCUAAUCAGAUAUCGGCCGCUCCAGGAGCAUGAGGUCUUGCGAUCCCCCACUUUCAUCCAUAGAUCGUAUGCGGUAUUAGCGUAACUUUCGCUACGUUAUCCCCCACUCUUGGUACGUUCCGAUAUAUUACUCACCCGUUCGCCACUCGUCAGCGGAGCAAGCUCCCUGUUACCGUUCGACUUGCAUGUGUAAAGCAUGCCGCCAGCGUUCAA
rnacentral:rRNA from 1 species